GAUGAACGCUGGCGGCGUGCCUAAUACAUGCAAGUCGAGCGAACAGACGAGGAGCUUGCUCCUCUGACGUUAGCGGCGGACGGGUGAGUAACACGUGGAUAACCUACCUAUCAGACUGGGAUAACUUCGGGAAACCGGAGCUAAUACCGGAUAAUAUAUUGAACCGCAUGGUUCAAUAGUGAAAGACGGUUUUGCUGUCACUAAAAGAUGGACCCGCGCCGCAUUAGCUAGUUGGUAAGGUAACGGCUUACCAAGGCAACGAUGCGUAGCCGACCUGAGAGGGUGAUCGGCCACACUGGAACUGAGACACGGUCCAGACUCCUACGGGAGGCAGCAGUAGGGAAUCUUCCGCAAUGGGCGAAAGCCUGACGGAGCAACGCCGCGUGAGUGAUGAAGGUCUUCGGAUCGUAAAACUCUGUUAUUAGUGAAGAACAAAUGUGUAAGUAACUAUGCACGUCUUGACGGUACCUAAUCAGAAAGCCACGGCUAACUACGUG
rnacentral:rRNA from 1 species